rnacentral:lncRNA from 10 species
ACUCACGUGGGCCUCUCCCUGCCGCUGCGGGACAAAUUGGACCGGAGAUUAAAGGACCGGAGUUUAACUCGAGGUGACUGCGUUCGUAUGCAAAUGGAAUAUAUAAAACUCUUCUUUCCGGGGUAGUCUUUAAAGACUUUUUACCUCCGGGUGGGCGGCAAAGACUAAAGUUUCCCCUCCUCCCCUUUCAUUUUCCCCCUGCCCAUAGAACAGAUGGGCAAACUAAGCUCCGGGCCAUUGGGGCUAUUAAAGAAAGCCCUAGGCUCUUGACCCCAGGUGUCUUGAAACCUUCCGUUUAAGAGGGAUCCCUUGCCCAGCCUUGUUUGCCUUCCCCUUUCCUCAGUUUCCCUAUCUGUAAAAGGGGGUUGGAAUAAGGACAGGAUCAAGUUGGAAGAUCGCAAACCCCUGCCCCUCCCACCUCAGUUUCCCGAAGCUUUCCGGAAGCAAAAUCCCGAAUUUUGCAGCGGCUCCCGGCCGAAUCCACCCGCUGCGGCCACCAGGUGGCGCGCGGCCACCGGUCACUAGGCCCGCCGGGGUGUCCGUCUUCGGCGACCCCAUCGGGAAAGGAUUUCGCUGCUGCCGCCAAGGGUCUAAGGCCUACCUGGCCCACUUGAAGACAAAGAACGAGAACGUUGGUGCUUUGCCCACUUCUGCUCUGCCGGAUUAUGCUGCAGCUUCCUCGGUGGCCGCUCAUUCGCCCUCUCCUGCCCCACCCGCCCCACCAAUCCCUUAGCCCUUUUAUUUUUUUUUUGCCUAAUUUUAAGUCCUCGUCCUGGCAUUCGCAUCCCUGCUUGGCCUGACCCUUGCCCACAUUUCGCACCAUACCCCGUCCCUCACCUGCUACGAAAGUUGCAACGCUUCUCUGCACUUGGGGGCAACUGGACCUUACCAACCCUGGUGAAACUGUAUUUCAUACGUAAUCUGGGAGACUUACAUUAACGCUCUGCCGUCUAAACCUCAUACCUGCUCUAUGAGAUAGCAACAAUAUUGUCCCUUUCCAGCACUGAUGAAGUCCACCAGAAGUGAUGGGGAUUCCAGCUCCAUUCUGUCACACACCAGAACCUUAAUCCUUGGCUCCUUCAAGCUGGAACGCGGCUGACUUCACCUGACCCACUCCCAAACUCCUAUUCAUCUUUCAAGAUCCUGUUCAAAUGUUUCUUCAGUGGCAUCUUCCUUAAUACCUUCCACCGAGGGACAACUAGAUCCCCUCUGCUAGGUAGCAGUGUUUCAGGAGCUAAACCCUGUGACUAAGAGAGGACGGCCUGCCAUUCCCUCAGCUGUGGGUUCUAAAAUACUUUAGGACCUUGCUGGGCGCCGUGGUUCAUGCCUGUAAUCCCCACACUUUGGGAGACUGAGGCGGGCGGAUCACCUGAAGUCAGGAGUUCGAGACCAGCCUGACCAAUAUGGAGAAAACCCGUCUCUACUAAAAAUACAAAAUUAGCCAGGCGUGGUGGCGCAUGCCAGUAAUCCCAGCUACUCAGGAGGCUGGGGCAGGAGAAUCGUUUGAACCCAGGAGGCGGAGACUGCGGUAAGCCGAGAUGGCGCAAUUGCACUCCAGCCUGGGCAACAAGAGCAAAACUCCGUCUCAAAAAAAAAAAGAAAGAAAAAAAAAGUCAGGACCAUCUGGCCUUUCUCAGGAAUCUACCUUUUUGUCACAGGUUCUGGUGGUAGUGAGUUCUCUGUCCCUGGAGAUGCCAUCAGAGCCUAAGUGGCACUGCAGAAACGUGCAGCCCUGGAGUUUUGGUAGUUGAUGAAGAUUCUAAGUCAACCCUCUUUAGAUGGGCAGAAGAGUUCAGCCAAAUGCUCAGCCCCUGGAAACAACUCCUCCAGUCCUUCAGACUACAGCUCUGUUGUCCCUUCCUUCCAUAAACCUUCCCACACCUCCCUGACUAGUCACAUCCCUUUAUUCUCACUCAUAACCCCAACUGCUGAGUACAGAUCUGGCACAUAGUAGGCUCUCAAUAAUUGCUGACUGGGUGAAAGAAUGGAUAAAAACAGCUAACCUUAGGUGAGUGACUUCUGAGCCUCUAUUUCCUGUCUUCUAAGGGGAUGGGUAAUAAUGAUAGUUGCUACCUAGCAGGAAUGCUAUGAGAAUUAAACGAUGCUUGCAAAGCAAUUAAAGGUCUGGCCUAAUAAAUGGAACCUCUUACUAAUGUUAUUUAAAGAGUGGUUCUAAAUCUCAGAUGCAUGUCUUCUGAAAGUGCUUCUGGGAGGAGUCAAAUACCACAAGACUGAGAAAAACAAGGGAAAUGACUGUGCUAGAGACCCCAGCCACUGUCCUAAGCAUUGACAGCCCAAUGAACUAAGCACUCACUAUGAGUCCAGCACCUACUAUGGGGCCUUUUAUCUAAUCUCUCUACAUUUCUUCCAACAAUCCUAAGAAAUCAAUACUUUCUCCCCCAGUUUAGAAAUGUGGGGACAGGUUCAGAAAGAUGAAAAAGACUCUGCUACCACCUGCAGGACUCAAAAGAUCUGGAAAGGAAUGUGUCUAAGGGUAAGGAGGGAUCUUAGGGGGCUGUGGUUCUGAGGCCAGAGGCAGCAGACAGACGGGACCAGACUGGGAUACAGCUAAGAACAAGGCAGGCAUGGCCGGACAUGGUGGCUCACACCUGUAAUCCUAGCACUUUGGGAGGCCGAGGCGGGUCAGAUUGACUGAUCUCAAUCGGGAGGGAUGACUAGAAGUGAGACUAGGUGGAGAGGAAGGCUUUCAGGUGGAAGGAACAGCAUGUGCCAAGGUCCCAAGGCCAGCCAGAUCACGGCUUGGCCCAUUUGAGGAGCUGGGAGAAUCUGUGGUGACCAGAGCCCACUGAGAGAGAGAAGGGUAAAGAGGAGGCAGCCAGAGAUUAUCAGGUCAUGUGGGGGAACAGCCAGCAGGGGGCAGAGUUCCUCUAGUGACGGCAGCCUUGCUCUUCCUUGUCCUGCCUAGAGUCAGAGCAAGGCCGCAGUUCAUCAAGAAAGGGCUUGGGGAGGGAAUCCCCCCUGCCGGCUUCGAUUUCUUUUAAGUACGCUCUGUCCCGUUUUUGAAUACAUAGGACACACACAUUACAAAACCCACAGGAUGCAAUGAAAGUUCUUACUCCCUGGAUCUCCUUAGAACCACCGUGCUGACUUUUUGCAUUGUUUUUCAGAUAGUCUAUGUCCAUAAGAACAUACACGAUAUUUACUUUUUACACUAAUCUAGCCCCGGUUUUGAUGCCUCCCAGGGGAUCUCUAGUUAUAGAAGAAGCUUAUUUGUGGAUGGGCACAGUGGCUCAUGCCUGUAAUCCC